rnacentral:tRNA from 1 species
UCUGCGCGCGAGCGGCGGCGAGAGCCGUCCGGGCGCUCUCCGCGUCCGGGUGGACCCGGGUCAGCACCAGCAGUUCGACCGCCCGCUCCGGG